UACAUUUUAAUAAACAUGAUUUCUAUCACAUAAAAAACAUCACCAUAAAUAAAACAGUCAUUUAGGAGAAACACAGGAGGCACAAUAUUGAAAUGAGAAAAUACAUUGCACUGUCAAUGACUUGCAAAUGUAUUCAUACAACUAGAACUUUUACAUUUUGUCAUGUUACAACUACAAACCUCUACUUUAAUUAAAUGUGAUGUAACAGACUGACACAAUGUAGAGCACAAAUAUGAAGUGGAAUAAUUAUACAUUUUCAAAAUAUUUUGCAGACAAACUCCUGAAAAGUAUGACAGUGUUUUCCUCCUGAAGACCCAGGAACACACUAAGACAGGGAUAGUUCUAGAGAUUAUGCCACCACCAUAAUACAUGGUAGUUGCAGCAUCAUGCUGUGGUGAUAAUUUUUUUCACAGAGAAAAAGUAAGUUGGUCAGAAAUUGAUGGGAAGAUUGAUGGAGCCACUUACUGAGCAAUCCAGGAAGAAAAUCUCUUACAGGCUGCAAAACACUUACAAAGGGUGGUAGCUGUUCACAUACAUCUAAGAUGCUAAGCGUGUUGUAGGUGCCCACUCAAAAUCUGGAAGUAAAUCCAACUAAAGAUCUGUGAUAUAGUAUGAAGGUCACUGCUCACAGAUGACAUGUCCAUCCAAUCUGAAUGAGCCACUUUUUAAAAGGGCAAAAAUGUCAAGCUCUAAAAAGGCAAAGCUAUACAUGUACCAAAAGACUUGAAGAUGUAAUUAUAGGUGUAAAAUUAUUUGACAAAAUAUAGAUUUAGGUAGUUGAAUAAAAAUGCACACCACACCAAUAACAACAGAAAAAAACAUACACUUUCUACUUUACAGUUUGUGUUCUAUCACAUAAAAUCUCCAUAAAAAAAUCUAGUUUGUGACUGUAAUUUGACAAAAUGUGAAAAAAACCCCCAAACAUUCAAGUUAUAUGAAUACUUUGACAAAGUACUAAAUUCAUGAACAGAGAAAUACUAUAAAAAGUACUUGGUUUCAGUCUUAAAUGUGCUCAGCUUCAUCACUUCACAUGGAUGAGAGGCAGUACAGCAGACACUAAAUCAGCGUAUGUGACGUAGCCACUCACACAGUCCAGACACACCAGUCUCUGAGGUGUAUGGGGACUAUCAUCUAUAAUCUGGAAAUAUGGUCCUGUGAGACAUGUAGCAAAUGAGUGUUUGAUUCAAGGCAUGAAAAAAGCACGUCCCAUUAGCCAGAGCAAAAAAAUAAAAAAUGUGAGGGUAGAAAAGUCUUGAAGCAGAUGAAAUUAGAAAGAUGUCUCUUAGUGCAUCUUGGUCUGGAGUUUACCCAACAGUUCAUAUAAAAACCUUCUUUAAAAAAUAAAAAAUAAAAAUUACAUUAAAAGUACCUGUAAACAAUGUCACUAAAAAUGUUUAGUUAGUUAUUUGGUAAACCACAAUCAGCAUGUCAGCUGGUAAAUCUACUUUUUUUCAAUAAAUGCAAUGUUUUCUAAACAUACUUUUCCAGAGAUAUUUGUUCUGCUUAGUCUACUUUUAAAAGUAUAAAUACAAAACUUUCCUUGAUUGUAUGGCAGAUGAUUCUACAAUGGUCAUCAUGGAAAUAUGGACCCUGCAUAAUGGACCCUCUUAAUCUACAGAGAGAAAAAAGGAAGGAAGAACUUGAACAAAGUGGGGAUGGAAAAAGAUCGACGUCCCUCCAGGAGAAAGGCAGCUACAACCACCAACCGUUGUCCCAGUGACCUCUGCUGCGCAGUGCCCUCACUGUGUCUGAAAGAUCCAGUGGUGUGAGGCCGCUGUAGUUCUUCUGAUGAAGCACUAUGCAGCCAGUCUUCUGCAGCAGAGCCCAACACACUUCUAC